rnacentral:rRNA from 1 species
CACGAACGCUGGCGGCAGGCUUAACACAUGCAAGUCGAGCGCCCCGCAAGGGGAGCGGCAGACGGGUGAGUAACGCGUGGGAAUCUACCCAUCUCUACGGAAUAACGCAUGGAAACGUGUGCUAAUACCGUAUACGUCCUUCGGGCGAAAGAUUUAUCGGAGAUGGAUGAGCCCGCGUUGGAUUAGCUAGUUGGUGGGGUAAAGGCCUACCAAGGCGACGAUCCAUAGCUGGUCUGAGAGGAUGAUCAGCCACACUGGGACUGAGACACGGCCCAGACGCCUACGGGAGGCAGCAGUGGGGAAUAUUGGACAAUGGGCGCAAGCCUGAUCCAGCCAUGCCGCGUGAGUGAUGAAGGCCCUAGGGUUGUAAAGCUCUUUCACCGGUGAAGAUAAUGACGGUAACCGGAGAAGAAGCCCCGGCUAACUUCGUGCCAGCCGCCGCCGUAACAC